GAUGAACGCUGGCGGCGUGCCUAAUACAUGCAAGUCGAGCGAACGGACGAGAAGCUUGCUUCUCUGAUGUUAGCGGCGGACGGGUGAGUAACACGUGGAUAACCUACCUAUAAGACUGGGAUAACUUCGGGAAACCGGAGCUAAUACCGGAUAAUAUUUUGAACCGCAUGGUUCAAAAGUGAAAGACGGUCUUGCUGUCACUUAUAGAUGGAUCCGCGCUGCAUUAGCUAGUUGGUAAGGUAACGGCUUACCAAGGCAACGAUGCAUAGCCGACCUGAGAGAGUGAUCGGCCACACUGGAGCUGAGACACGGUCCAGACUCCUACGGGAGGCAGCAGUAGGGAAUCUUCCGCAAUGGGCGAAAGCCUGACGGAGCAACGCCGCGUGAGUGAUGAAGGUCUUCGGAUCGUAAAACUCUGUUAUUAGGGAAGAACAUAUGUGUAAGUAACUGUGCACAUCUUGACGGUACCUAAUCAGAAAGCCACGGCUAACUACGUG
rnacentral:rRNA from 1 species